rnacentral:lncRNA from 1 species
CGGAUCCCAAGUCGAGAUACUUUCCCGCGCUCGCUCGUCAGGGUUAAAGAAGCGGAAGAGCCGUCGUUUGUUUGGUCGCGUCUCGCGGGGAGAGUGGGGAGGAGGUGGAGGGAUCGAUGGUACACCAGAUGGUUUCCGAUCCGAAGGAUGGCGUCGAUCGGAUCUUCGCCGGCUUCAAGUGCGGGAUCUCCGCUCCUGGUGAUUUCCCCCGGAUCCUAAUCCUUCGUCCCCUCCCCCUUUCCUCCUCGGAAUUCGAUUUCUUGGCCGUUCUUGUGUGAUUCUUUCGGAUGGGUUCACAUUCUUCUUUGGUUCUUUUGGAAGAACCCUAAUCUUGACUGUCUCGGCGGUUCUUGAUUCUUGAUCUCUGGCAAUCUGUCAGAAUCCGCGAUCAAGAAAGUCUGCGCUCGGAGAGAUCCAAGAAAGCAGGCUUGGUGAGAGGGGAGGCGUCUGUGGUUGCUGGAGUUGCUACGCCGAGCUUGUCGGAACAAUGUGGGCGGGAUUCGGCAGGGAAAGAGAAGGUAUGAUACCUCUGUCUUUGCUAGUUACUAUUUCUAAACCAUGUUUCCACCUAUCUAAAACCUCUUUCAUGGGUCUUUCCUUUGAUUCUUGUACUUAAAGGCUUUUAAUUCAGGGAAGAUGGACUACAUCUUUUCGCCAAGGGAAAAUGUCAAGCUUCUUGAUCAUGUGUAUGCAACACGUAUGUGCACACUACAUUGUUUAUAGAGUGUCUUGUGCAGUCCGAAGCUUAUCUUGAUCAAAAUGUCAAUUUUCUUGAUCAAGAUGUGUUCAUCUUGAUGUGUAUGCAAACGUGAUCAUGGAUUCUGUCGAGUGUUUCCAGUUCAAAAAAAUGUCAAUGCCCUUAAUCAAGAUGUCUUUAUCUUGAUCAGGUUGAUCGACCUUAAGGAUACGUUUUUUAGCGUUUAAGAAUUAGGAUAGCUUGUGAUGGUCUAAAUAAAUACGAAGAGAAAUUUUUGGUUUGGCUACUCUGUGUUUGUCCAUAAUCCAUGUAGAUUAUGAAUUGACAUGGGGUGGUAAUAUUUGCUCUCGCUGUUCGACCUUGGCUAACAUGCAUGGGAUGCAUGUCUGCACUUAUUUUAGCACCUGGGAAUGGGAUGUUCACUCUCAGCUUCAUAUUUAGAUUGCCUACUUAAAGUAAUUGUUUUUCCAUGUCCAGUCAUUGGUGAUUUGGUGACUGAGUUGGUUUGAUGAGGGAAUAACAGCCAAUAAAAUGAUAAAUUAUUUUAAGGUUAUCCAGAAAUGCUAAUCUCUUUGAAGUUGCAUGUAUUUAUCUUCCCGCAAUAUCACAUAUGGAUGUUAAACUGAGAAAUAUUCGAGCGAAGUUCAUCCUUUUGAUGUGACUUGAAACAAGUCAAUGUGAGGAUCCUAUCCGAAGAUCAAUUAUCAUGAUUUCAAGUAGUUGCUUAUUAUUGAGACAUGAUAUGAGGUAAUAUAGUGAUCAGUUGCACUUGCUGGUAGCUAUGAUAGGUAGGAAAAUGUUCCUUUAAGCAUCAAUCAGAUUACACUCUGUAGCAAGUGUUUGGAUCUUUAUUGAACAUGUGCAUGUUUCUAAACUUAAUGCAUAAUUUUUCUCACGACCAAUGGUUGGGAACAAAGGCUUCUGAAUAUUGCAAUUUGUUGCACGGCUACGCAGAGCAAUGCCUUUACUUUACGAAAAUUAUUUAGCUUUCUCCUGUGAAUUUUAUACUGUAUCGGUGCUUCAAGUAUAGAAUCUCAGUUAUAAGUGGUGUCAUGUAUCGUCAUGUAUCUUUUUAGCUUGGUGUGUUUAUGUUUGUCACGAUUAAACUGAAAAGUGGAAAGCAGAUCACUCCUAUUGUCUUUUAUGGUUAUCUAUAUUGUCACAUAUUUAGCUGGAAUUAUCUAAGUCGUGAGGUACUAUUACGGCCAAGACGCGAACUUAGCUUAAGUUGCUUAACUUACGAUGCACCAUUGCGUCAAUUUCUCGGACUUAGCUGGGAUUUCCUAAGUCUUGACGCGCCCUUACGAUAUGUGUCCGCAAAGAUUAGCCAAUUUGUAAUCGGACUUAAAAGAGAAAAUUGAUUAGUUCGAAGAACAAGUGACGAACAAGUCUCGAUGUCUCGUGAAGGGGGAAGCUUUAUAAGUAAUUCAGCGAACACCUUGCAUGUAUGAGAAAAAGAAUAGAAAGGAGGAAAACAAGGACUUUAGAGGGUUAAACGAACAGUUGUAAGUCCACAAACAGUUGCUCAUUGGGUGCUGGGCGCGAAGGCAAGUUCCCAUCAAGAAAACGUACAAACUUGUGAAGAUUAUUCAACGCCCGACAAUAUAUCGAAGCCUCAUCUAGCCCUGUGCCACCCGGGGGGUUCCAGGGUGCUGAGAUGGUUGACAUUUCGUGCGUUGCAAUGGGCUACAGAAAACAGUCCGUGGCAUGCGAAAAUGAAGCUAUUUUGGGGUAUUUUAACUCGACGCGGUGACCGAUCGCAUUGUGCGCUGUAACUUGUUCAAACAUAUAUUUUUACAAGCAAAAACACACAAAACCAAAGCAAAAUAGGUUGCCAUGUCUCUGUUCAAGCAUGCAAAAGCGACAAACAGUUCGUUGAAUGAAGUUAUUGCGAGUGCGCGAUGACCGUUCGUGACAUUCUCCCCCACUUAAACUGUCGAUACUCUCGUCGACGCUUAUUGGUAGUUGUUGAUGAUUACUUCUUCAUGUCGUAGGGCAUCUUCGGGCUCCCAACUGGUUUCAGUUCGUGGAAGCUUACGACACUUCACCAAGUACUCAGUUUACUCAGCUCCAUUGGGUAGCUUUAUCUUGCGAUCCACUAGAAUGGUUUCAACUCGCUUCUCGUAGGAGGCUCUGGUAGGGGAUAGCCAAGUUGGAACACAUCGGGAAGCAUCUUGUGGAUCUGAGUGGUAGGCUUUCAAGUUGCUGACAUGAAAAACAUUAUGAAUUUUGAGCCACGACGACAGCUGCAACCUGUAGGAGACGUUUCCCACCAUACUAAUAAUUGGGAAGGGUCCUUCAUACUUGCGCACCAAUCCUUUGUGUACUUUGUUCCUAAAGAAUUGGAGUGAUGUUGGUUGGAGCUUCACCAACACUAAAUCGCCGACUUUGAACUCCUGCCGUCGCCUUCCCAAGUCUGCCCACAUCUUCAUCUUUUUUGUUGCCUUCUCCAAGUAAGCCCGCGUAAUAUUUGCAUUUCGGUGCCAUUCUUUUGCAAAGUGAUAUGCUGACGGACUACUCCUAGUAUAUCCAAUAGCUAAGGUGUGAGGAGUUGACGGUUGUUGUCUUAUAAUGAUCUCGAAGGGGCUCUUGUUAGACGCAGAGCUCCGUUGCAAGUUGUAGGAGAAUUAGGUUAUGUUCAAUAGCUUCACCCAAUUUUGUUGGUUGGCACUCAUGUAGUGCCGAAGAUAUUUCUCCAAGAGCGAGUUUAUCCUUUCGGUUUGGCCAUCCGUCUAGAGGUGGAGGCUUGUGAAGAAGUAUUGCUUGGACCCCAACAAUUUGAAUAACUUGAUCCAGAAUCAUCCCAGGAACCGAGCGUCUCAAUUACUAAUGAUAUUGUGCGGGACUCCUCAAUACUUCACCAUAUUCUUUAUCAUCAGCUUGGCUGCCUUCUCUGUCGAAUAGUGUAGGGGCGUAACAAUGAAAGUUGCAAACUUUGAAAAUCGAUCGACCACUACGAGUAUCGAUCUCAGUCCCCCUACUGUCGGUAAGCUUGAUAUGAAGUCCAAGGAAAUGCUCUCCCACGACCUUUCUGGUAUGGGCAAUGGCUCCAAAAGCCCUACCGACUUCCGUUGCUCCACCUUAUCUUGUUAGCAAGUGAGGCACGUUCGAACAUAUUCCUCCACAUCAGUCCUCAUCUUCGGUUAGUAGAAGGCCUUCUCUACGAGAGCCAAGGUUUUAUGAAUGCCUGGGUGUCCAGCCCAAAGGGAAUCGUGACACUCUCUCAAGAGUUCACACCUCAAAUUGUCCACUUGAGGAACAUCAACUCGAUUCCCUUUUGUGUAAACAAGUCCCUCUUGGACCCAAAAUCGACGUGCUUUGCUUUCUUUGAUGAGCUGCAUUAGGGUUACUGCUUGGGGAUCACUAUACAGUCCAUCCCUGAUCCUGGAAAGGAAGUUGGAGUGUAACUGACUUGCUUAGCUUCUACCCUCCAACUAUACGACAUUCACUCAUUCCACUUUUUAGCUCAAUGCAUCGACCACUCCAUUGCCAUAUCAAACUCAGCCAGGAAGUCUUGCUAUCAUGCUUCCUUUGGGGAGAGUUUUUUUUUUGAGUUUGGAAAUAGCUCAAAGCGAUGUUGUCUGUCCUCAGCACAAAUCACGAUCCAAGAAGGUAGUGCCACCAAACUCGUAGACAGUGGACCACCGUUGUUAUCUCUUUCUCGUGCACCAGAUACCGUCGCUCGGUCUCGUUGAGCUUACAGCUCUCAUAAGCCACCGGAUGACCCUCCUGCAUGAGUACUCCCCCAAUAGCGAAGUCUGAAGUAUCUGUAUAGACUUCGAAGGGCUCCCCAUAGUCCGAAAAUUUGAGCACCAGUUCUUCCAACACAGCAACCUUUGGAUCUAGGAAUACAACUUCAUAUUUGUUAGACCACCUCCAAGGCUGCUCCAUCUUCAGUAACUCCAUUAAUGGAGUUGCACUCUUCGAAUACCCCGUUAUGAAUCGUCGAUAGUAGUUGACGAAACCAAGGAAGAAUCUCAACUUUAGCACCUUUGGAGUUCGUCAUUUCGCAAUAGCUUGCACCUUCAAUUUGUUCAUCCGAAUGGAGCCAUCACCGAUUCGAUGCCCCAAGAAUAAGAUCUCCGUUUGAGCAAAGUAGCACUUCUCCCUUUUCACGAAUAAAGUAUUCUCCCUAAGAACUUUAAAAAUUGUUCAAAGGUGUUCGACAUGCUUCUCGAGCAUUUGGCUAUAGAUGAUGAUAUCAUCUAAGUAGACGACCACGAACUUAUCCAAAUACUCUUUGAAUAGUUGGUUCAUAAGAGUGCAGAAUAUGGUCGGAGUGUUGGUUAAGUUGAAAGGCAUCACCAAGAACUCAAACACUCCAUACCUGGUCAUGUAGGUUGUCUUCGCUUCGUUGCCUUCCGCAAUGCGCACCUGCUAGUACCUCGACCGGAGGUCGAGUUUAGAGAAAUACUUGGAUUUACCCAAUUGAUCGAACAAGUUCGCGAUGAAUGGGAUGAGAUACUUGUUCUUCACCAUCACUUUAUUGAGGGCUCGAUAAUCGACGCAUAGUCGGAGGCUCCCAUCUUGUUUCGUUUGGAAGAGAACUGGAGUUCCAAAUGGUGCUUUAGAACUGCGGAUGAGACCAUCGCUUAGUAGUUCACCUAACUGCUUUCUAAGCUCUACCAACUCUGGAGGGGGCAUGCGAUAGGGUGGUCUCGCUGGAGGCUUCACUCCUGGCUCCAGCUCGAUGUGAUGAUCCAUGCCUCUACGUGGUGGUAGAGUCUUCGGCAACUCGGGUGGCAUAACAUCUGUGAACUCCUUUAGGACGUUCACCACCACAGCAGGUUCAUGAAUGACAUUCUCGUCGAGUGGCUCUAGCUUCAUAGCAGCCACGAAUGUUAAUUUGUCUUUUCGUACCCCAUUCUUCAGUUGUAAUGUUGAUAUCUGUUAGGGUUCCCUGGUUCUUCUCUGAGAGACGGGAACCACAUAGGGGCUAUCACCUCCCAUCAUACAUAGGGAGUUUAGGAAUGACAUUGGCACCAACUUUAUCGCGUGCAUGAAUUCCAUUCCAAGAAUCACUUGGAAGUCAUCCAGUGGCACCGCCAUCAUGUUUGUGUUUCCGCUUCAUGUUCCGAUCUUGAUAGGAACUCCCUUUGCCAACUCGGAGAUUCGCUCGGCCUUCGAGUUCAUCGCCUUCAUUCGACUUGGGUUCUUCUCCAAGAUCAGCUUAAGUCGCUUUGCUUCUCGAUCGACAAUAAAGUUAUGGGUAGCGCCCGUGUCCACCCGUGCAAUGGUGGACACGGGCGCUACCUUUUGAGCUUGGCCCUUUGUGGGAACUUCUCUUCUUUUGUUCACCCCCGGGCUCCUUCCCUCGAGAAUAUUUUAGGGGGUGAUUUCCUGAAGAUUGUUUCCUUUUUCCCGGGUCCUCAGAGGAAACAAAGUCGGUGAGUCUUUCUGCAGCAACAUUUACCCCAAUCAUAUCGGUGAUAUUCCUUCGAUGUAGUUCUUGUUGCACCCAUGGCUUCAAACCAUCGAGGAAGCUAAACAACAUAUCCUUCUCGGACAUGUCCUGAAUGUCCAGCAUCAGUGCAGAAAAUUGCUUUAUGUAGUCUCGAAUGAAAGUAUUUUGACGGAGUUAUCUUAGUUUCCUCCUUGCGACGAACUCUGUAUUCUCGAGUAGAAACUGAGUUCUCAACUCUCGUUUUAAGUCCUUCCAUGUGUCCAUCCGACACUGACCUUAUUGGAUCUCUUACCAAUGGGUUCGCCACCAAAGUUUUGCAUCCCCAUUCAAAUACAUGGUUGCUAUUAAAACUUUGGUUUCUUCAGAAUCAGGCCUCGUUGCUCGAAAGUAUUGUUCCAUGUCGAAAAGAAAAUUCUCGAGCUCUUUAGCAUCUCGGGCACCUCUAUAACAAUGUGGUUCGGGUGCCCUCAAGUUUUAUGGCGGCGCAACGCGGGUAUUACUUCCUCCUGCAUUCACUGCUCUUGUGAGUAUGGUCGUCCUGGAAGUGAGUUCUGCCAUGACUUCCUGUAGAUGUUACACGGAGUCUUUGGUGUCGUCCGACAGUUAAUCGACUAGGGCCUCGACCUUGUCGAUUCGGGAUUUAGCUUCUUCUUGCGAGCUCUCUACCCAAAAAAACCUUCGCUGGCCUUGGCAGAGUUCUUCCAAACUCGCUUCAAGAAUAUCCAAGCGGGUUUUCGUCGUUGUGAGUCUCUUCUUACGACUCUUUUUCCCGAUUGGCGCUCCAGAUUGCACCUCUUCCGCUCGUGGAGAAUAGUCAAUUUUUCGCUCAUCAUGUUCGCUGUCAUAAUCCUCCAAAGUAGCUCUAACUACAUGAGAGCGAGAAGUUUACACUUGCAGCCUAGAUGAAGUAAUUCAAGAAGUGACAGUUAAUGUUGCAGUUUUUGAUGAAAAAGAACGAUACUCAUUUACAUUGCAUGAGCUAUUAUUCUGCUAGAAACGAUAGAUAAAAAAUCUAAUAUAAAAAGUUUUUGGUUUUGGGCUUUUUGUUCUCGGUUAGAAUUGUAGUGACAGUUGCAAACAGAAAAAUUCAACAAGUAACUGAAAGAUCAAUUCUUUGGGGAAUUUCCUUUCUCGAAGUGAUAGUUAAACAUAUCAUACUGAUGUAUACGGUUGCCGCAUAAUACUUUUUUGAAUGUGAAUAUUUUCAGUCACGUUCUUCUUCCUGACACUUGGAGGAGACAUGGGAUUAGUAGCAGGUCUGUAAAAAAGGAAAAAAGAAAGAAAAAAAUAUUCAUGUUCCUUCCGAUGUAUGUUUAAUUAAGACAUUGGCUGUAGCAAUCCUGGACAUCUUUGAAUGACAUGUGCAUUCCUAGAGGAUCAUCUACUGGAAAUUAACAAUUUUAAGAUCUGGUUCAUGUAGUUGGAUUUCAUGCCCUGUUCUUUUUCUGUUGUUGUGAGAGCUUCCCUUGUCAAUUUGAUGCAUGUAGUUGAAUUGUCGUACAUUAUGAUUUC